GAUGAACGCUGGCGGCGUGCCUAAUACAUGCAAGUCGAGCGAACGGACGAGAAGCUUGCUUCUCUGAUGUUAGCGGCGGACGGGUGAGUAACACGUGGAUAACCUACCUAUAAGACUGGGAUAACUUCGGGAAACCGUAGCUAAUACCGGAUAAUAUUUUGAACCGCAUGGUUCAAAAGUGAAAGACGGUCUUGCUGUCACUUAUAGAUGGAUCCGCGCUGCAUUAGCUAGUUGGUAAGGUAACGGCUUACCAAGGCAACGAUGCAUAGCCGACCUGAGAGGGUGAUCGGCCACACUGGAACUGAGACACGGUCCAGACUCCUACGGGAGGCAGCAGUAGGGAAUCUUCAGCAAUGGGCGAAAGCCUGACGGAGCAACGCCGCGUGAGUGAUGAAGGUCUUCGGAUCGUAAAACUCUGUUAUUAGGGAAGAACAUAUGUGUAAGUAACUGUGCACAUCUUGACGGUACCUAAUCAGAAAGCCACGGCUAACUACGUG
rnacentral:rRNA from 1 species